rnacentral:rRNA from 1 species
UACGUAGGGUGCAGGCGUUAAUCGGAAUUACUGGGCGUAAAGCGUGCGCAGGCGGUUUGCUAAGACAGGUGUGAAAUCCCCCGGGCUUAACCUGGGAACUGCGCUUGUUACUGGCAAGCUGGAGUGUGGCAGAGGGGGGGUGGAAUUCCGACGUGUAGCAGUGAAAUGCGUAGAGAUGUGGAGGAACACCGAUGGCGAAGGCAGCCCCCCUGGGCUAACACUGACGCUCAUGCACGAAAGCGUGGGGAGCAAACAGG